ACAGGCAAAGAAGUUGAAGCAAAUAAUAUUACGGCUAUAAUAUCUAUUUUGGUGAUAUACUAAGCUUUUCAAGUUAAAUUUCCUGUAAAUAUAAAGAGGAAAUAGUGUAAAGGAGUCGCAGGGAGCCUCAGAUCUGGAAAUUAAUUUGUUUUCUAAUUUUUCCAAAUAGAUA